AUUAAAGACAAAUUAUGGAGUAAUUAAGUGAUAAUCAUAAUUAACAAUACAGUAUAAAAAUCAAAGCAAUGAGCCAAACAUUCUUUUACCAAAAACCAGUGAAGGGAAGAGUGUUGGCCAGGAAGCUUUUUGGUGUAAAAUGGAGGAGUUUGCAACUCAAUCGAAUCAUAUAAUAUUAAGAAUAUAAAAUAUCGGGAAAAGACGGAGCCAGUUGUAUAUUAAUUUCGGAAGGUCUUGUCAAGCUAAGGACAUCAGGCAAGUUCACUAUCCCUCUCUUGACGUGAAAAUUUUCGUGCCUAUUUGAUGAUUGUGUGAAAAGUGUUGAUUGUGAAGAUAUUACAUUUCGUACCAAUGUGAAUCGAGGAAAUAUCUCCGUUUCAUUUUGAAGGCUUUAAAGAUAUUGUUCAUAUAGUACUUUUUAUAAUUCGAGCCCUCCCAUUGUACGGGAAUGAGCUGAUCCUAAUAACGAUAAUAUUUUGAAUCUUCAAAACUUGAGGUGAAUACAUUGCAGCGAUGAUCUCACCACAAUUAACUUACUCACUUUUGGAGAUCAUCUUAUUCUUUGGAAUCUAGUUAUUUUAAUUAUCCUUCACUUCUACCUUCGGGUAAUCUUUGUUGAAAGGGUGCAUUGUUCGCACUUCUUUGGUAGAGAUGAGUAGUGUUUAUUUGGGAGAAUUUUCUUGUAUUCGGAGGAAUCUAUUCAAGCUGGUCAACACGAAUUUAUUAAAUUCGUGGUAGAGUUGAGAAUUUACUAUCUGGUAAGGCAGAUAGUUUAGGGUUACAAAUGUUAACCCUUAUGCUAGCAAAUGAGAGUGGUAGGUGUGUCUUGUGUGGUUACGAUCAGACUGCAAAGAUCACACAGGAGAACGGUAUUCACGAAAUGGUGCUGAUCGAGCCAUGUAGUGUUACCGAAAGGUGGAAGACCAGCGUUUUCUUUACUGGAACUUGUGUUGUCAUUUGACGAUAGCUGCUUUGUUACUUUGGCUUGAAUUGUUUCUAUGCCUUACGUGCAUAUUCUGUUGAUUGUUGUUUUGCUCUAUGUGGACUUGCUGAGCAAUUUGAUUGCUCAUUCUUGCAUCUGUUUUAUUCCUGUUUGAGCAGUAAAUAGUGUGUAUGGCACAACUCAUGGGUUUUUGGCAAAGACAGGGAAAGGGCGCAUCACCCAAGCUGAUACUGCUAGACUACUCAACUUGGUAGUACGAGCUAUAGUUAUUAUAAUGGUCUGAAAUCAGACUUCCCUUUAUGUAAUAAAGUUAGACUCAGUAGGAAUGUUGUAAGACAAUCGACCCUGGACUUGUGGGGCAAGAGUUGGAUUGUAUUAUAUUAAUAUGUAAUGCAAGUAUUGUUUUGAGCCA